rnacentral:lncRNA from 1 species
AGAAACAUUAAAAAGUUUUACGAUAACUUAUUCGAACAUGGAGCAAUUCCAUUAAUUAACAAACCUACUAGAAUAACCUCAACUUCAGCUACUAUGAUGACAACAUUAUAACAACCGAUAUCUUUAAUGAAUCUUUUAAAAAAGAUUUCCACAGUUCCUUUUGAUUCAGAUGAAGUUGCUCGCCUGAGGACUUUUUUGAGUACAUCUACUUUGAACUUUUUAAACAAUGUCUUGACAAAUGACAUUUUGAAAAAGGAGCUAAAAAUAGUAUUCUUCAGUAUUGCCAAGUUGUUCUUCCUUCCGACAAUGACCCAUGGGUUCUAAGAGAGUUUUUUCUAAACUUAAGUCAACGCUUCUUUUUAAUUUUCCUAACUGCUUGGAACACUGGGAUUCACUUCUAAGACAGGUUUCAAACAUAAUUAGGCAAUAACAUUGGACUAAAAGUCAUUCGACUUCAAAUGGAACAGCAAUUAGACAUUUCAACAGGUUUCAAAACCUAAAAAGUCUCCAUAUAUUAUGGAUUCAAUAUCUAAAGCUGAACCAGUGCAAGAGCAGCUUCUUCUUGAAGUUGAGGUAAAAUUUAUGUUGAGCUCCAAAAGACUUCAGGGAAGGAGGAGAAAGGGGCGCUUGGAGAGGACAUUUGAGCUUGAAAAAGAUCUAUCUUCUAAUACAGCUUAAGGACUCUCAGUGGCUGGUAACGGCUAGUAACCCCUGCAAAUUUUGUUUGUUUAGCUUAGGUAGAGUUUGUAAAAAGCUCUGUUUUUAGCAGG